GACGAACGCUGGCGGCGUGCUUAACACAUGCAAGUCGAACGGAAAGGCCCUGCUUUUGUGGGGUGCUCGAGUGGCGAACGGGUGAGUAACACGUGAGUAACCUGCCCUUGACUUUGGGAUAACUUCAGGAAACUGGGGCUAAUACCGGAUAGGAGCUCCUGCUGCAUGGUGGGGGUUGGAAAGUUUCGGCGGUUGGGGAUGGACUCGUGGCUUAUCAGCUUGUUGGUGGGGUAGUGGCUUACCAAGGCUUUGACGGGUAGCCGGCCUGAGAGGGUGACCGGCCACAUUGGGACAGAGCUACGGCACGGAGUCCUGCGGGAGGCAGCAGUGGGGAAUAAUGCACGAUGGGCGGAAGCCUGAUGCAGCAAGGCCGCGUGCGGGAUGACGGCCUUCGGGUGGUAAGCCGCUUUCGCCUGUGACGGAGCGUGGGUGACGGUAAUGGGUAAAGAAGCACCGGCUAACUACGUG
rnacentral:rRNA from 1 species